rnacentral:rRNA from 1 species
UGCCAAAUAAUUUGGUAAAAAAUAAUGAAAAUUACCUUAAUUCCUUGUAUUAUUUUGCAAUUAAUCAAAUUGAAAGCUUGCAAAAUAUUUUGCAAGCGCUUUUAGAUUGUGUAGUAUCAKAUUAGUUAGUUGCUGGUUUAAUAUACCAACAAGGCGAUGAUCUGUAGUUGUUCUGCAAGGAAGUACAACCCCACUGGGACUGAGAUACGGCCCAGACUCCCACGGGAGGCAGCAGUGAGGAAUUUUGGACAAUGAGCGCCAGCUUGAUCCAGCAAUACCACGUGUGCGAUGAAGGUUUAUACUGUAAAGCACUUUUUUAGGAGACUAAGGUCUUAACGGACUUGAAUUUAUCUUAAGAAUAAGCACCGGCUAAUUACGUGCCAGCAGCCGCGGUAAUACGUAAGGUGCUAGCGUUAUUCGGUUUUAUUUGGCGUAAAGCGUGUGUAGGCGGUUUAUUGUGAUAAGAGUUAAAGCUUAAAGCUCAACUUUAUUAGGCUCUUUUUACUAAUAAUCUAGAACUUAAAUAGAGAUAGUGGAAUUUUGCAAGUAACAGUGAAAUGUGUAAAUAUGCAAAGGAACACCAAUAGCGAAGGCAACUAUCUGAUUUAUUUUGACGCUGAUACACUAAAGCGUGGGGAGCAAACAGGAUUAGAUACCCUGGUAGUCCACGCCCUAAACGUUGUCAACUAAUUGCUUGUAUUACUUUUUUAGAAGUUUUAUGGGUGAUAUAGCUAACGCGUUAAGUUGACCGCCUGGGGACUACGAUCGCAAGAUUAAAACUCAAAGGAAUUGACGGGGACCUGCACAAGCGGUGGAUGAUGUGGAUUAAUUCGAUGUAACACGAAGAACCUUACCUACUUUUGACAUGUACAGUAUUUGCUUGAGAAAGUGAAGUGCCAUUAUUUGGAGCUGUAACACAGGUGCUGCAUGGCUGUCGUCAGCUCGUGUCGUGAGAUGUUGGGUUAAGUCCUAUAACGAGCGUAACCCUCUUUUCAUAUUGCUAAUAUAUAGUACUUUUGAAAGACUGCCGAUAUUUAAGUUGGAGGAAGGAGAGGAUGACGUCAAGUCCUCAUGGCCUUUAUAAGUAGGGCUUCACACGUCAUACAAUGGUUAAUACAAUAUGAUGCAAUCUUGCGAAAGUGAGCUAAUCAGUAAAGUUAACCUCAGUUCGGAUUGCACUCUGCAACUCGAGUGCAUGAAGUUGGAAUCGCUAGUAAUCGCAGAUUAGAAUGCUGCGGUGAAUACGUUCUCAGUCUGA